rnacentral:rRNA from 1 species
GAUGAACGCUGGCGGCGUGCUUAACACAUGCAAGUCGAACGGUGAAGCAGGAGCUUGCUCCUGUGGAUCAGUGGCGAACGGGUGAGUAACACGUGAGUAACCUGCCCCAGACUCUGGGAUAAGCGUUGGAAACGACGUCUAAUACCGGAUACGAGACGAGAAGGCAUCUUCAUCGUCUGGAAAGAAUUUCGGUCUGGGAUGGACUCGCGGCCUAUCAGGUAGUUGGUGAGGUAACGGCCCACCAAGCCUACGACGGGUAGCCGGCCUGAGAGGGUGACCGGCCACACUGGGACUGAGACACGGCCCAGACUCCUACGGGAGGCAGCAGUGGGGAAUAUUGCACAAUGGGCGCAAGCCUGAUGCAGCAACGCCGCGUGAGGGACGACGGCCUUCGGGUUGUAAACCUCUUUUAGCAGGGAAGAAGCGAAAGUGACGGUACCUGCAGAAAAAGCACCGGCCAACUACGUGCCAGCCGCCGCUGUAAAAC